AAAAAGUUUUAAAAAAAAAAGCGAAAUCUUCUUUGAGCCAGUGUGUUCCUCACAGAGCAACUCCUGUGGAGUAAGACAGAGAUGAACACCGUCAUGAAAGUUCUGGCUCUGACCAUCGCUGUCGGCGCUAUGCUGUGUCUUCUGCUGAGUCCUGUAGAGGCUCUUCCAGUUCCAGACCUUGGGCUGGACGAUGUGGCAGGCGCCGCCCAUGAAGCACGGCACGCUCCCCAGCGGAGGAGCGUGAAGGUGCAGCCCUGGUGUUGUAACGCUGGAAAACUCCCGGCGCUCACCGUCCAUUUCAAGAUGGACUAACCCGUCACCGCCCAGCAUUCAAGUACAGAAUGUAUGCAAGCCUAGACUUGUUUCUGAUUUCUGAAGAUCAGUUUUUGGUUGAGGGACAAAUCCCUGAUGAGAAGUCGUCUGCCCAACUUGUAUGGACUUCAGGAGGACCCAGCAGGACC